GAUGGGGUGACUAGUGACAGAGAGAGGGAUGGGGUGACUAGUGACAGAGUUAGGGAGGGAGUGACUAGUGACAGAGAGAGGGAUGGGGUGACUAGUGACAGUCACCCCCCUCACUCUGUCACCAGUCAUCCCCUCACUCUGUCACUAGUCACCCCUUCCCUCCCUCACUUUGCCACUAGUCAUCUCUUCCCUCCUUCACUCUGCCACUAGUCACCCAUUCCCUCACUCUGUCACUAGUCACCCCUAUC